AAAGUCGUAACAAGGUUUCCGUAGGUGAACCUGCGGAAGGAUCAUCAACAAUGAUUUAUUCUGUUUUGAGGAUUGUAAACGCUGAUUGGUGGGCUCUGUCAUGGUAAUACGUGAUGAGACCACCAACACUAUACACACACACACACUGUACUUAAACACACAAACUAAUACAACUUUCAACAAUGGAUCUCUAGGCUCUC
rnacentral:misc_RNA from 1 species